CCUACGGGCGGCUGCAGUGGGGAAUAUUGGACAAUGGGGGGAACCCUGAUCCAGCCAUGCCGCGUGUGUGAAGAAGGCCCUCGGGUUGUAAAGCACUUUCAGUGAGGAAGAACGCCUGGUGGUUAAUACCCAUCAGGAAAGACAUCACUCACAGAAGAAGCACCGGCUAACUCCGUGCCAGCAGCCGCGGUAAUACGGAGGGUGCGAGCGUUAAUCGGAAUUACUGGGCGUAAAGCGCGCGUAGGUGGCUUGAUAAGCCGGUUGUGAAAGCCCCGGGCUCAACCUGGGAACGGCAUCCGGAACUGUCAAGCUAGAGUGCAGGAGAGGAAGGUAGAAUUCCCGGUGUAGCGGUGAAAUGCGUAGAGAUCGGGAGGAAUACCAGUGGCGAAGGCGGCCUUCUGGACUGACACUGACACUGAGGUGCGAAAGCGUGGGUAGCAAACAGGAUUAGAUACCCCGGGUAGUC
rnacentral:rRNA from 1 species